CACCAGAUGACUGAAAGUAAGUAUUGGUCUCUUAAACCAAUCAAUAGUAAUUAACAACUACUUCUGAUGA
rnacentral:tRNA from 1 species